rnacentral:rRNA from 1 species
GUCUACAGCUAUACCACGCUGAACACGCUUGGUCUCUUCUGAUCUCUGAAGCUAAGCAGGGUCAUGCCUGGUUAGUACUUGGAGACUGCCUAGGGAUACUGGGUGCUGUAGGCU